ensembl:snoRNA
CUCCUCCAGUUCCCUUUCCCAUCAGAUCUGAACAGUGGUCUUGGUGGUCGUAAAAGGAGGAAAAGUAAUGCUGAAGCUGGCCUCAUGGCGCUUGUAGUCUAGUAUAAAGCAUGUGGGCUAGUUUCAAACAAGG